CCCUUAGAUGUUCUGGGCCGCACGCGCGCUACACUGAUGCAUUCAACGAGCACCCGCUGGGCCGAGAGGUCCGGCUAAUCUUUGAACGUGCAUCGUGCUGGGGAUAGAUGAUUGCAAUUAUUCAUCUUCAACGAGGAAUUCCUAGUAAACGCAAGUCAUCAGCUUGCAUUGAUUACGUCCCUGCCCUUUGUACACACCGCCCGUCGCACCUACCGAUUGAAUGGUCCGGUGAAAUUCUCGGACGCGGACUUGCGGUGUUAAUUCGGAGCUUGACUGUGAAAGUUAAUUAAACCUUACCAUUUAGAGGAAGGUGAANUCGUANCA
rnacentral:rRNA from 1 species